rnacentral:rRNA from 1 species
GUAGUCUCGCACAGAUGCAUAUCAAUAAGCGGAGGAAAAGAAACUAACAAGGAUUCCCCUAGUAACGGCGAGUGAAGCGGGAAGAGCUCAAAUUUGAAAUCUUAAAGGGUUUCCCUUUACGAAUUGUAGUUUAAAGAAGUGUUUUCUGUUGAGGUUUUGGUAAAAGUUCUUUGGAAUAGGACAUCAUAGAGGGUGAGAAUCCCGUAUUUGACCUUUACUUUCAACUUUGUGAUACACUUUCAAAGAGUCGGAUUGUUUGGGAAUGCAGUCCAAAAUGGGUGGUAAAUUUCAUCUAAAGCUAAAUAUUGGCGAGAGACCGAUAGCGAACAAGUACCGUGAGGGAAAGAUGAAAAGAACUUUGAAAAGAGAGUUAAACAGUACGUGAAAUUGUCAAAAGGGAAGCGUUUGACACCAGUGUUGUUUUUCUGAAAAUCAAUUAAAGAACUGUUUAUGCUAAGUUGUUUAGACUUUAUCAGCUAACUGUUUAGUUUUGAGCUUUUCUUUAAUGCACUUUUCAGUUAACAAGUCAACAUCAAUUUCUUUUGCUGUAAAAAAGCUUGAGGAAGGCGGCUUGAGAUUCGUCUUAAGUGUUUAUAGCCUCUUGCCUAUGCAGUCGGAGAGAUUGAGGUCUGCAGCGUAGAUCCUUCGGGCUAAAUGCAUUUGUGCUAAGUUAUAGCAUUUCAUAGACAACUUGUUGACUAUGAUUUGUCUUGUAGCUUACUCGCUUAUGCUAUUUUACCUACGCUUAGGAUGUUGACAGCAGUAUAGACUG